UACGAAGGGGGCGAGCGUUGUUCGGAAUUACUGGGCGUAAAGGGCGCGCAGGCGGCUCUGAAAGUCAGAUGUGAAAUCCCCGGGCUCAACCUGGGAACUGCAUUUGUGACUGUAGAGCUGGAGUACGGUAGAGGGGGAUGGAAUUCCGCGUGUAGCAGUGAAAUGCGUAGAUAUGCGGAGGAACACCGAUGGCGAAGGCAAUCCCCUGGACCUGUACUGACGCUCAUGCACGAAAGCGUGGGGAGCAAACAGG
rnacentral:rRNA from 1 species